rnacentral:rRNA from 1 species
AGCGGCGGAUGGGUGAGUAACACGUGGGGAACCUGCCCCUAAGUCUGGGAUACCAUUUGGAAACAGGUGCUAAUACCGGAUAAUAAAGCAGAUCGCAUGAUCAGCUUUUGAAAGGCGGCGUAAGCUGUCGCUAAGGGAUGGCCCCGCGGUGCAUUAGCUAGUUGGUAAGGUAACGGCUUACCAAGGCGACGAUGCAUAGCCGAGUUGAGAGACUGAUCGGCCACAUUGGGACUGAGACACGGCCCAAACUCCUACGGGAGGCAGCAGUAGGGAAUCUUCCACAAUGGACGCAAGUCUGAUGGAGCAACGCCGCGUGAGUGAAGAAGGUUUUCGGAUCGUAAAGCUCUGUUGUUGGUGAAGAAGGAUAGAGGUAGUAACUGGCCUUUAUUUGACGGUAAUCAACCAGAAAGUCACGGCUAACUACGUGCCAGCAGCCGCGGUAAUACAUAGGUGGCAAGCGUUGUCCGGAUUUAUUGGGCGUAAAGCGAGCGCAGGCGGAAAAAUAAGUCUAAUGUGAAAGCCCUCGGCUUAACCGAGGAACUGCAUCGGAAACUGUUUUUCUUGAGUGCAGAAGAGGAGAGUGGAACUCCAUGUGUAGCGGUGGAAUGCGUAGAUAUAUGGAAGAACACCAGUGGCGAAGGCGGCUCUCUGGUCUGCAACUGACGCUGAGGCUCGAAAGCAUGGGUAGCGAACAGGAUUAGAUACCCUGGUAGUCCAUGCCGUAAACGAUGAGUGCUAAGUGU